UAGUAUUGUGCUCAUCUAUUAAAAUUGGAAGGAUACAGAGAAGAUUAGCAGGGUUCCUGCACAAGGAUGUCACACAAAUUUGUGGAGCGUUCCAUAUUUAA
ensembl:snRNA U6 U6 spliceosomal RNA